rnacentral:rRNA from 1 species
CUACGGGGUGCUGCAGUGGGGGAUAUUGCACAAUGGGCGAAAGCCUGAUGCAGCAACGCCGCGUGAAGGAUGACGGAUUUCGGUCUGUAAACUUCUAUCAGCAGGGAAGAAAAUGACGGUACCUGACUAAGAAGCCCCGGCUAACUACGUGCCAGCAGCCGCGGUAAUACGUAGGGGGCAAGCGUUAUCCGGAAUUACUGGGUGUAAAGGGUACGUAGGCGGCCGAUCAAGUCAGAUGUGAAAGCCCGGAGCUCAACUCCGGGAUUGCAUUUGAAACUGGUCGGCUAGAGUGCAGGAGAGGAAAGUGGAAUUCCUAGUGUAGCGGUGAAAUGCGUAGAUAUUAGGAAGAACACCAGUGGCGAAGGCGGCUUUCUGGACUGUAACUGACGCUGAGGUACGAAAGCGUGGGGAGCGAACAGGAUUAGAUACCCCUGUAGUC